CAAUCGGCUCUUUUCAGGGCCAACAUACGAUCAUAAAAAGGUUUAU
rfam:Aedes aegypti strain Liverpool supercont1.546 genomic scaffold, whole genome shotgun sequence.